GAUGAAGAACGUAGCGAAAUCCGAUAAGUAAUGUGAAUUGCAGAAUUCAGUGAAUCAUCGAAUCUUUGAACGCACAUUGCGCCCGUCAGUAUUCUGGCGGGCAUGCCUGUUCGAGCGUCAUUACGCCCCUCAAGUCCCCUGUGGACUUGGUGUUGGGGAUCGGCGAGGCUGGUUUUCCAGCACAGCCGUCCCUUAAAUUAAUUGGCGGUCUCGCCGUGGCCCUCCUCUGCGCAGUAGUAAAACACUCGCAACAGGAGCCCGGCGCGGUCCACUGCCGUAAAACCCCCCAACUUUUUAUAGUUGACCUCGAAUCAGGUAGGACUACCCGCUGAACUUAAGCAUAUCAAUAAGCGGAGGA
rnacentral:misc_RNA from 1 species